rnacentral:rRNA from 1 species
AACGAACGCUGGCGGCAGGCCUAACACAUGCAAGUCGAGCGGACCCUUCGGGGUUAGCGGCGGACGGGUGAGUAACGCGUGGGAAUAUCCCCUUCUCUACGGAAUAGUCCUGGGAAACUGGGGGUAAUACCGUAUACGCCCUUUGGGGGAAAGAUUUAUCGGGGAAGGAUUAGCCCGCGUUGGAUUAGGUAGUUGGUGGGGUAAUGGCCUACCAAGCCGACGAUCCAUAGCUGGUUUGAGAGGAUGAUCAGCCACACUGGGACUGAGACACGGCCCAGACUCCUACGGGAGGCAGCAGUGGGGAAUCUUAGACAAUGGGGGCAACCCUGAUCUAGCCAUGCCGCGUGAGUGAUGAAGGCCUUAGGGUUGUAAAGCUCUUUCAGCUGGGAAGAUAAUGACGGUACCAGCAGAAGAAGCCCCGGCUAACUCCGUG